AUUAUGAGAGUUUGAUCCUGGCUCAGGACGAACGCUGGCGGCGUGCCUAAUACAUGCAAGUCGAACGCUUCUUUCCUCCCGAGUGCUUGCACUCAAUUGGAAAGAGGAGUGGCGGACGGGUGAGUAACACGUGGGUAACCUACCCAUCAGAGGGGGAUAACACUUGGAAACAGGUGCUAAUACCGCAUAACAGUUUAUGCCGCAUGGCAUAAGAGUGAAAGGCGCUUUCGGGUGUCGCUGAUGGAUGGACCCGCGGUGCAUUAGCUAGUUGGUGAGGUAACGGCUCACCAAGGCCACGAUGCAUAGCCGACCUGAGAGGGUGAUCGGCCACACUGGGACUGAGACACGGCCCAGACUCCUACGGGAGGCAGCAGUAGGGAAUCUUCGGCAAUGGACGAAAGUCUGACCGAGCAACGCCGCGUGAGUGAAGAAGGUUUUCGGAUCGUAAAACUCUGUUGUUAGAGAAGAACAAGGACGUUAGUAACUGAACGUCCCCUGACGGUAUCUAACCAGAAAGCCACGGCUAACUACGUGCCAGCAGCCGCGGUAAUACGUAGGUGGCAAGCGUUGUCCGGAUUUAUUGGGCGUAAAGCGAGCGCAGGCGGUUUCUUAAGUCUGAUGUGAAAGCCCCCGGCUCAACCGGGGAGGGUCAUUGGAAACUGGGAGACUUGAGUGCAGAAGAGGAGAGUGGAAUUCCAUGUGUAGCGGUGAAAUGCGUAGAUAUAUGGAGGAACACCAGUGGCGAAGGCGGCUCUCUGGUCUGUA
rnacentral:rRNA from 1 species